rnacentral:rRNA from 1 species
AGUGAACGCUGGCGGUAGGCCUAACACAUGCAAGUCGAACGGCAGCACAGUAAGAGCUUGCUCUUACGGGUGGCGAGUGGCGGACGGGUGAGGAAUACAUCGGAAUCUACUUUUUCGUGGGGGAUAACGUAGGGAAACUUGCUAAUACCGCAUACGACCUACGGGUGAAAGCAGGGGAUCUUCGGACCUUGCGCGAUUGAAUGAGCCGAUGUCGGAUUAGCUAGUUGGCGGGGUAAAGGCCCACCAAGGCGACGAUCCGUAGCUGGUCUGAGAGGAUGAUCAGCCACACUGGAACUGAGACACGGUCCAGACUCCUACGGGAGGCAGCAGUGGGGAAUAUUGGACAAUGGGCGCAAGCCUGAUCCAGCCAUACCGCGUGGGUGAAGAAGGCCUUCGGGUUGUAAAGCCCUUUUGUUGGGAAAGAAAAGCAGCAGGUUAAUACCCCGCUGUUCUGACGGUACCCAAAGAAUAAGCACCGGCUAACUUCGUG